AUUGUAGCUUUGGCAGUUGCACGCCAUCUAUAUUAAUUGUUUCUUUCUGAUCGCUGAUUGGCUUUCCUUGUCGCCGAGAUCAAACUGUUUCGAUGGGUUGUGGCUUAAACGAUGUAAUUGCUGAAUGUUAUCACACGCGUGGGCUUGAGGUCUCUAUUGAUAUAAAUACACACUAAUAAUACAGCUACUUACCAGUUACUUCCUUGACGUUGUGCUCAACAACAUCAAUAAUUUGACAAGAAAGGCAGGACAUAGUGAAUCCACUGGAAGAUUGUCAGAAUUUCGAACACAAUUUUCAUUGGGCAGUACCGUAAAACGUCAGACUUUACGCAACUGUGUUAAACUUUUAGAGGGGAAAAGGUCGGCGAUCAAAAUUUACUACAAAAAGUUUUUAUUCUUCUAACGAUACCUUUUAAAAAAACCUCACUCGAUAUGGCUGCCUUCUAUUUGCAACUUUUUUGUGUCGCUACGCUAACGCUGAUUUUAGUACCAGCACAAGGACAAUCAUAUAGCGAGUGUGACCAAUUCUGCAAAACCGUCUCCAAAAGUAACAAAGAACUUGAAUACUGUGUUUUCUACAUUUGCAAAAGGGCAUACUUUCAUAAAGUUACACGAUUUGGCAAAAGGAAUGUUCAAAACGAAGAUGCAAAAAGUAAUCUGAUGUCUUUACCGAAUGGAAAAUUCUUCAAUAGCCUUUUCAGGCGGGUUUCUGAAGAUGCCAAUUAAAAGACCUUUUCGAAGUACCAAUCUUAUAAGACCAUAUCAACAUUAUUUGGAAAUACGAUACCAUUCAUCUUGAACAGUUUAUCAAAGAACUAUAUUUGGAAUUUCGGAUUUCCCAAAGCUAUACCCUAUCCAUCGGGAGCAACCAUAUUCACUGCCAUCCAUUUUUGUGUAUUUUCAACUUCACCAACUGAGAUUAGUUUUUCACACUCCUGACUUUACCCGGAAGCAUUCUGCAUUAUUGUGAUCAUUAUCCAACCCAUAGGGACAUCCAGUAAACCAUGUUUAUGGAUGAUAUAGUCAGUAAUUACAUAUUAGAACUGAUAGAUUUUAACUUCGGUUUGGGACUAAAACUAAAUUUAAGUUUUUAUUUCAUCAUUUACUUAUUGUAUUUACAACCCAGCGUGAAUAUUCAUUAAAUGUAUAUCAUAAAAUAAUUGUACUUUUAAAGACAAAUCAGAUACCGUAUAAGUCGCUUGGUAUGGUGCCCCGUUUGUCACGACAUUCCCCAGUUCAUUAAUUUACGUAACCAUUUUUCUGUCUGUGUUUAUUAAAGGGAGAGGUAUGGUAUAUUUAAUGUUUGCACAGCUCUAAUUUUAAAUUGUUUGUGCAUUUAUAAUGUUGCACCAAUAAGAACCACUAUUUUGACAUAUAUAUUUUAAUCUCACAGUAUUGUCCAAAUCAAAUGUAUAGUAUAUAUUGAUAAUGCACAAGUGAAAUGAAUUUGUCAUAAAAUGAUUUUCAAAAAUU